UCUUGUUAUUUAUAGUCCCCUUAAGGCACCAAAUCCUGUCUGACAUUGGAAGCUAAGGAGGAUCAUCCCUGGUUAGUAUUUGGAUGGGGGACAGCAAUGAAUACCAGAUGCUGUAGGUU
rnacentral:rRNA from 1 species